UACGUAGGUGGCAAGCGUUGUCCGGAAUUAUUGGGCGUAAAGCGCGCGCAGGCGGCUUCUUAAGUCUGAUGUGAAAAUCCUCGGGGCUCAACCCCGAGCGGCCAUUGGAAACUGGGAAGCUUGAGUAACAGAAGAGGAGAGUGGAAUUCCACGUGUAGCGGUGAAAUGCGUAGAUAUGUGGAGGAACACCAGUGGCGAAGGCGACUCUCUGGUCUGUAACUGACGCUGAGGCGCGAAAGCGUGGGGAGCAAACAGG
rnacentral:rRNA from 1 species